AAGGCAGGAAUAAGGAACAGAUACAUCACUAGCACGCUGGUGGGGUGAGACUCGGCAGACACGGGAAGAGGCUCCUAGGGACAGUUCACCCCAGGCUUACGUCCUCUUCAUGUUCUGGUCUUUCCUUCCAGAGGGACGCCGCGGAAGCGGAGCUGCAGCUGAACCUCGCUGGCGACGGGGCUCCGCGGAGAGAGGGAGAGAAAGAAAAGAGCGAAGGAGAGCCAGCUGUGAGUGCGUUUCCCGUUCCUGGCUCCUCCUAGGAGGCCUCGGCCUCAGUUCUGCAUAUUUUACUCCCGCGCUGGGAAACCCGGAAACGACUCCAGCAGCCCGGCGCGCAGGGCUGUAACCUUUCCCCGUUCUCACGGAGACGCAGAGGCGAGGCCGUCCAGGAUCUCCAGGAGUGCCCGGUUUCCCUAACCUCCACCCCAGGUCCCAGGCAGGACCCCAGGCUGCGCUGGCAGGCAGACCCCGCCUCGGGCUGCUCUUUCCUGCGCUGUCGACCGCGAGGGCGUCUACCAGCUGCACGUCCAGGUGACCCUGGCCAGGUGCUGCUCCCAAGGGACACCAGGCACCGCAAUGCCACCCUGGCCGUGGGGCUCUGAACCCCGCCCCCCACAGAGUCAGCCUGCUGCGCCUGGGCUUGUCCAGGCCUGCACUGUGGCCUCUCAGCGCCUGACGCCCUCUGCGCCAACCUCAGCCCCCAGCGCCUGCCCUCCCCCAACACCGACAAGAACUUCUUGGGCAUCCACUCCUGACCACCCCCGGCUCGGCUGCUCUGCUUCUGUUUUCUGUAAAUGAAUGUGUUUUUCAAUUUCACCUUGACUUGCAUAUUUGAUGGGUAUGGCCCAUCUCCUGGAUGCUUGGAGCAACCUUUGGCUAUGUGGCUGGCCUUGUUAUUUCACCACUCUGGAUAUACUGGAAUAGAAAGCAACUUACAUACAGGAACAAUUAACCGGAGCAAAGGGAGAGACAUUUCUUUGUGCAGAUUCCAUAAGGGCUGUGCAGAAAUGUGUAUGGUCAAAGCCAAGCAGUUCCAUUUACACCACUGUUGUUUUUUUUUAAAUAUAGUUUCAACAUGAUGUGAUUGUAGCUUUGUAAACUAUGAAAACCCUGAGAGAUUGUACCUUCUAGUUGAACUAAAGUAUUUAUAAUAGAUUGUGC
rnacentral:lncRNA from 1 species